UUAGCUGGGAUCUGUUUUGUCAAGGUUAGAGGUCAUGCUGGAUGACGGAAAGAACUCCUAACCAAGAUUGGUUAACAAAGGUUGUAGCCUCAAAUUCACUAUUACAGGUGUAACCAUGGGACAUUUAUUGAACCUCUCUGAGUAUCAGUGUCUUCAACUUCAGGUGGAACUAAUGAUACUUACCUACUUUGCAAGAUGGUUGUGAAGCUCAUAUAACGAGAUUAUGGAACAUUGAGAUGGGCCUUGUGCUUGUGACUUGGCCCAAUAGAAUCCCAACCUCUGAUACAUGUAAUUGAAGCACUACCAGGACCAUAAAUGGAAUAGCAAGAAGAGAGCAAAGGCUUUGAGAUCAGACUGGUGCUGGUUCAAAUGUUGAAACUACCACUCGCUAGUUGAAUGCCCGUGAACAAAUGAAUUACGCCUGUGGAGUCUCACUUUUGGAAAACUAAGCAAUUGAAAAAAGCAAUACUUUUCUCACUGAGUUCUGAAAAGGAUGACAAUGGUGUGCCGGUAAAGGUUCAACAACCAGCUUUGCGAACUCAAAAAGCCCUGGCUGAUAGGCUCCCGUCGUGUAAAUACUCUCACCCCAGCCGCUUCAAGCUGCCAACAUGGCGUCGCCGGAUGCCGAAUGCGUCCGCUUGGCUCUUGCAAGCCAGCCUGAGCCAGCGCCAGCCCACCUCUCAUAUCAGAUGAGUUAAUGAAUGUGAAGACCCAGGACAGCUUUCCCAUUUACCAGAAAAAUCACAAAUGUACAUUGGCUUUAUUUUGCUUGGGCCCUGUCUUCCAAGUCCCAGAAUCUGAGGCAGACGCUGAGGUGAGCUGCCGAGGGGAAAUCGGUAAGUGCUUCCAUUCCUGGAAUAAAGGAAAUGGAGGUGAUAACUGGAGGGAAGGAGCAUCCUGGUGCUGAGGUGAGAACCAGGUACCAGAGGAAGAUAACCAGCAGGAGAAAGAGGUCUCCUUCCUCCAAGCCCUGGAUACAGUGAAGGAUACUGGGAAUUCAUACCCAGACUAGCCUUGGUAUCACCCAGAUCUUGUUCAUUCCACCAUCACCUAGGUAACCGGGGCAGUGUGGGAUUAGUUGCCUGGCAACAAUGCCCAUCUCUCUACUCCUGUACACACCCUCAGGCCCUCACCCCUGUGACAUUCCCUCCCCACAGGCCACUGCCUGUGCCAGCAACACGACUCUCUACUGCCACUCCAAGCCCCUGGCUAAGCCAGUCCCAGGGCCCCCUUAACUGGAGUACACCUGCCCAGAAAUCCGUAAAUCUGCUAGUUCUCCUAGAGAAGCACCUAGAAAAGCACCAGAGACGAAGAGUCCAGAUCAAGAGCCAGGGGCCUUAGAGUCCAGUCUCAGCUCCACAGAGGACCAGCUGCUGCAAGACCUCGGGCAGGUUGCUUGACUUCUCCGAGUUUUUGUUUCUUCAUCCCCCAAAUGGAGAUUUCCCUCUCAUCUGCACAAUCGGGAUUUUCCUUCAUCUGCAAAAUGAGGGAUUACAACACUUGCUAGGCCAAUCCACACAGUUAUCCUCGGCCCGUGUGUGAAGAGUCCUCUGACGCACAUCGAGUGCAAGGGGAGAUGAGGUGAUUAUUAUAAUCGCCUGCAAUGCUGGCAUUACAUGGGCUUCCAGCCUCUCCAGAGUUCCCCAAAGCUAGGCUGAGGCCUUGGCGCCAGGAAACCAAGGGAUGAGUGAAGCCGAACCUCUUCCAGGACAAAGCAGGUGACAUGUUCUAAUGGAUUCUGAAGAGGGUUUGUGUUCCUGCCCUUAAGCAGUGUAGCGCCAUUUGUACAGGCGGCCCGGAAGCCCGCCCAACGGCUCGGGCUCUCCGAGAGGAAAAUUGGCAGCUCCGGGAAGUGAGCAGCUCUCAGGUCGGACUUGAUUAGGGACCAAUUUGGGCCUGUUAGCCGAGCCUCCAGUAUCAUCUCGGCCAAUUACUGGCCCAGCCUGGCCUGCAGCUGGCUGUUCCUUCCAAGCUGGACACUUUUAUUUCCAGCAGAGCUCUCCCUGCGCCUGAGGCAAGAGACCGGGGUGACUGUAGCCCAUUAACAAGAUGGAGAGAGAAAUAACUCACUCUGUUAAGGUCAUACUGAACAAAUUAUGAAUAACGGAUGAACGAGGAAGUGACCAUUCCUUGAGCCCCAGAGAGACUCAAACACAAGGCCGGUUAGCUGAACAAUGCCGCCCCAUUUGGGACGAAGCAGACCCAGCUUACUGAGUUGGGGCUGCUGGACAUUUACAGAAAAAACCUUAGCCUGGUCUGAUUUUUCUCCACGCUUUCCCAAGACAGAGCCAUUUCCAAUUUAAAAAGUGUCAAAAACAUGAGGCGAUGAGGGAGAAGAAAGAAGCACCUUGAUAUCCACACAGAAGUUUUCAGUAUUAUUAGUGCUAAGUGUUACAAAUGCUCAUUUUUCCUUCUUCAUCACCAUUAGCUAACCUUAGUAGAGUGCUAGUUAUUCACAUGAGGUUUGAGGGAGUGGGUGGUGAUGAGGCAGGAAGGGAGCUGGCGACCCAAGAAACACAAUGGGAAAUUAACGCUGGGACGAUGUUAUGACGGCAAUUGCCGAGUCGUAAGUAGGCUAAGCAAAUAGAAAGUUGGUCAAGUCUGAGGUUUUCUAGAACUUUCUUCCGCCUAGACUUUAGUCAAGAAAAGGGGAAUAUCUAAGCUUAAAGAUAAAAGCGAUAGGAGAAAAGAUGCUAUGACCUUGACGAACACAUUCAGACAAGCAGACACUACUAGUUCACAGCCUUGAAAGAAAUUAUUCCUUUGACACCAGAUAUGGAAAAUUCUCUAUGCCUCAUAGAGGGAAGGAGGGGAUUUAGUGGGGGAACUAAAUACAUGGGGAAACAAAUACAGAUAAAAAAGAAGCCUCCGUCCCUGCCUUCAGGGAGUCCAUCGUCUAAUGAGAGGUUAAAACCAGUAGGACUGUAAUCGUCCUUAUAAACCUGAGUGAAAACCCAACCGACAAUGUGUACAAUGAACCCCAGAGACUCAAUCAGUUCCUAUUACUGUGAAAUCUCAGGUUAACCAAAGAUUCCCAGCCAGUGACGCACUGACUGUAAGCAAUAUUUGAAACAAUAAAACCUCCUGUAACAGGAAAAGAA